CCUUUGCAGACACCGUACCCAGUUUCCUUCGGGGGAGGGUUUAACUGCCAGGAAACGGAAGUCUCGCUCUUUUCCGUCCUCCCUUCUUGCUGCUCGCCGCGAGUGUCUCCUGAGCGCUGCCUGCCGCGCGCUCGCCUGCGCCCCUCGUAACCAUGCCUCGCAAGAUUGAAGAAAUCAAGGACUUUCUGCUCACGGCCAGGCGGAAGGAUGCCAAGUCCGUCAAGAUCAAGAAAAAUAAGGAUAAUGUGAAGUUCAAAGUCCGAUGCAGCAGAUACCUUUACACUUUGGUCAUCACAGACAAAGAGAAAGCAGAGAAACUGAAGCAGUCCCUGCCCCCAGGUUUGGCAGUAAAGGAGCUGAAAUGAACCCGGCACACUGAUUGGAACUGUAUUAAAGUUUUAAAAAUUCCUAAAA